UUUGGGGAGUAAAAAUUCCUUCACAAAUGUGUUGAUGGCUGGACAUUGCAUCAUCCUAGAAAACUUGGAGGCCAGAGAGGACAAAAAUAAAAAGUUAUAAGACUUUUAAAUAUGUGGAUUUUAGGGUUAUCUUUGGCGCCCCCUAGAACCUAAACCGUGGGGUGCAGCGUCAUGAUUUGAAUAACUUUUAAUGGCCAUGGGGUGUAGAUUGGCCUGAGCAAAUGUGGUGCCGGUGGAACGAAAGCCUUCGGAGGAGUUAGCGAAAUUCCAAUGUGUGCGGAUCGGCAAAAAAUGCGCAAUAACCCUUUAACCGUACAUUUGACAGAUACGCGCGCAUUGACUUUUUCGUAGAUCUUAUUGAGAUACAUGUGUGUGUCAAUUUUUGUGUCAUUUUGCCAAAGCGUACAGGCGUGACACUAAACAAUGUGUAUUUUCACCUUAUGGGACAAGAAAAAAUUGACUUUUUUCUCCUGCCAUGGGGGGGCGCUCUUUUGGGGAGUAAAAAUUCCUUCACAAAUGUGUUGAUGGCUGGACAUUGCAUCAUCCUAGAAAACUUGGAGGCCAGUGAGGGCAAAAAUAAAAAGUUAUAAGACUUUGAAAUAUGUGGAUUUUAGGGUUAUCUUUGGCGCCCCCUAGAACCUAAACCGUGGGGUGCAGCGUCAUGAUUUGAAUAACUUUUAAUGGCCAUGGGGUGUAGAUUGGCCUGAGCAAAUGUGGUGCCGGUGGAACGAAAGCCUUCGGAGGAGUUAGCGAAAUUCCAAUGUGUGCGGAUCGGCAAAAAAUGCGCAAUAACCCUUUAACCGUACAUUUGACAGAUACGCCCACACUGACUUUUUUGUAGAUCUUAUUGAGAUACAUGUGUGUGUCAAUUUUUGUGUAAUUUUGACAAAGCGUACAGGCGUGACAGUCAAUAGUGUGAAUUUUCACCUUAUGGGACAAGAAAAAAUGGACUUUUUUCUCCUGCCAUGGGGGGGCGCUCUUUUGGGGAGUAAAAAUUCCUUCACAAAUGUGUUGAUGGCUGGACAUUGCAUCAUCCUAGAAAACUUGGAGGCCAGUGAGGGCAAAAAUAAAAAGUUAUAAGACUUUUAAAUAUGUGGAUUUUAGGGUUAUCUUUGGCGCCCCCUAGAACCUAAACCGUGGGGUGCAGCGUCAUGAUUUGAAUAACUUUUAAUGGCCAUGGGGUGUAGAUUGGCCUGAGCAAAUGUGGUGCCGGUGGAACGAAAGCCUUCGGAGGAGUUAGCGAAAUUCCAAUGUGUGCGGAUCGGCAAAAAAUGCGCAAUAACCCUUUAACCGUACAUUUGACAGAUACGCACACGCUGACUUUUUUGUAGAUCUUAUUGAGAUACAUGUGUGUGUCAAUUUUUGUGUCAUUUUGACAAAGCGUACAGGCGUCAGCUGAAUUUUUCACCUUAGGGGGCGCUAUGGAGCCAUUUUGCAUUGUAUUGUUUGGGCGACUUCAGAAUAUCAAAUUUUUCACCAGGCCCGGUCGUCCUGCCAAAUUUCAUGAUUUUUCGCCAGUGGGAAGUGGGCCAUUUUCCAGUUCAAAGGGGAGGAAAAAGAAAAAAGAAACAAAGACUAGGGCCCCGUUGGGGCACUGGCGGGCCCGAGCUGUGUCACGCCGCCCCCAACACGACCGCCUCUCCCUCCCGAUCGCGUCACACUCAAGGUUCAACGAUGGUGUGCGCACUUGUCUGUGGUCAUUUACCAUUAUAAUGAAUGGGAGGCGCAGUUUCUACCAAAACGCUUGCUGCAGACAAACUACAUGUCCUAUUUGAAAAAAGUCUGGACCAUGAGUGAGGGCACAAACACAGCUAGGAUAUAUCCAAAUGGCAAGUUCCUCCUCCUUUCGUUUUUUUCCGAGAGAGCGAUGUGUUUGAGCCAUUGAGCGAUGGGCAGGAAAAACUUGACUUUUUCUCCUGCCAUGGGGGGGCACUCUUUUAGGGAGAAAAAAUUCCUUCACAAAUGUGUUGAUGGCUAGACAUUGCAUCAUCCUAGAAAACUUUGAAGCCAGUGAGGACAAAAAUGAAAAGUUAUAAGACUUUUAAGAAUGUGGAUUUUUGGGUUAUCUUUGGCGACCCCUAGAACGUAAACCGUGGGGUGCAGCAUCAUGAUUUGUACAACUUUUAAUGGCCAUGGGGUGUAGAUUGGCCUGAGCAAAUUUGGUGCCGGUGGAACAAAAGCUUUAGGAGGAGUUAGCCACAUUCCAAUGUAUGCGAAUCAACCAAAAAUGCGAAAUAGCCCUUUAACCGUACAUUUUGCAGACACGUGCGCAUUGACUUUUUCGUAGAUCUUAUUGAGAUACACGUGAUUAUCAAAUUUUGUUUCAAUAUGACAAAGCGUACAGGCGUGACACUCAACAAUGUGUAUUUUCACCUUAUAGGACAAGAAAAAAUGGCCUUUUUUCUCCUGCCAUGGGGGGGCACUCUUUUGGGGAGUAAAAAUUCCUUCACAAAUGUGUUGAUGGCUGGACAUUGCAUCAUCCUUGAAAACUUGGAGGCCAGUGAGGACAGAAAUAAAAAGUUAUAAGGGUUAUCUUUGGCGCCCCCUACAACGUAAACCGUGGGGUGCAGCGUCAUGAUUUGUACAACUUUGAAUGGCCAUGGGGGUUAGAUUGGCCUGAGCAAAUUUGGUGCCGGUGGAACGAAAGCCUUCAAAGGAGUUAGCGAAAUUCCAAUGUGUGCGGAUCGGCAAAAAAUGCGAAAUAGCCCUUUAAACGUACAUUUGACAGAUACGCCCGCACUGACUUUUUUGUAGAUCUUAUUGAGAUACACGUGUGUGUCAAAUUUUGUGUCAUUUUGACAAAGCGUACAGGCGUGACACUCAAUCAUGUGAAUUUUUCACCUUAGGGGGCGCUAUGGAGCCAUUUUGCAUUUGAUUGUUUGGGUGACUUCAGAAUAUCGAAUUUUUCACCAGGCCCGGUCGUCCUGCCAAAUUUCAUGAGUUUUCACCAGUGGGAAGUGGGCCAUUUUCCAGUUCAAAGGGGCAGAAAAAUAAUAAUAAUAAGAAGAAGAAGAAGAACUAGGGCCCCGGUGGGGCACUGUCGGGCCCGAGCCGCGUCGCGCCGCCCCCAGCGCGACCGCCUCCCCCUCCCGAUCGCGUCACACUCAAGGUCCAAAGAUGGUGUGCGCACUUGUCUGUGGUCAUUUCCCAUUAUAAUGAAUGGGAGGCGCAGUUUCUACCAAAACGCUCGCUGCAGACAAACUACAUGUCCUAUUUGAAAAAAGUCUGGACCAUGAGUGAGGGCACAAACACAGCUAGUAUAUAUCCAAAUGGCAAGUUGCUCCUCCUUUCGGUUUUGCAGAGAGAGCGAUGCGUUUGAGCCAUUGAGCGAUGGGCAGGAAAAACUUGACUUUUUCUCCUGCCAUGGGGGGGCGCUCUUUUGGGGAGAAAAAAUUCCUUCACAAAUGUGUUGAUGGCUGGACAUUGCAUCAUCCUAGAAAACUUGGAGGCCAGUGAGGACAAAAAUAAAAAGUUAUAAGACUUUUAAAAAUGUGGAUAUUUGGGUCCUCUUUGGCGCC